GUGGUAAUCUGCCUGUGAUAUCUGUCACCCCAUUGAUUGCCAGGGUUGAUUUGGCUGAUCUGGCUGGCGAGGCAGGUGUCCCCUUCCUCCCUCACCACUCCAUGUGUGUCCCUCCUGAAGCCAUGCACUAGGUCAAAGAGUACAACCAUCCAGAUAGAGGAGGACCAUUCUUUGGUCAAGGGUAUGCGAGUAGCCAUGCUCCCUUGCUAGAAACUCCAAACAAACUCUCAGGCACAAUUUUAGAGAAUUAGGGACACAAUUCCAAUUCAUAUUUGCUAUUUGAAACCAGGCAACUCUUCCUGGAAGUCAUCUGUGUU
rnacentral:snRNA from 1 species